AUUGAACGCUGGCGGCAGGCCUAACACAUGCAAGUCGAACGAGUGGCGGACGGGUGAGUAAUGUCUGGGAAACUGCCUGAUGGAGGGGGAUAACUACUGGAACCGGUAGCUAAUACCGCAUACUAUCAGAUGAGCCUAGGUCGGAUUAGCUAGUUGGUGGGGUAAAGGCUUACCAAGGAGACGAUCCGUAACUGGUCUGAGAGGAUGAUCAGUCACACUGGAACUGAGACACGGUCCAGACUCCUACGGGAGGCAGCAGGGGGGAAUAUUGGACAAUGGGCGAAAGCCUGAUGCAGCCAUGCCGCGUGUAUGAAGAAGGUCUUCGGAUUGUAAAGCACUUUAAGUUGGGAGGCGUUACCGACAGAAUAAGCACCGGCUAACUUCGUGCCAGCCGCCGCGGUAAUAC
rnacentral:rRNA from 1 species